UACGUAGGUGGCAAGCGUUGUCCGGAUUUACUGGGCGUAAAGAGCGCGCAGGCGGUCGUUCAAGUCGAGUGUGAAAGCCCCCGGCUCAACUGGGGAGAGUCACUCGAUACUGAUCGACUCGAAGGCAGAAGAGGGAAGCGGAAUUCCCGGUGUAGUGGUGAAAUGCGUAGAUAUCGGGAGGAACACCAGUGGCGAAGGCGGCUUUCUGGUCUGCUCUUGACGCUGAGGCGCGAAAGCUAGGGUAGCAAACGGG
rnacentral:rRNA from 1 species